AACGAACGCUGGCGGCAUGCCUAACACAUGCAAGUCGAACGAGACCUCCGGGUCUUGUGGCGCACGGGUGCGUAACGCGUGGGAACCUGCCCUUAGGUUUGGAAUAACUCUCCGACAGGGGUGCUAACACCGGAUAAUGUCUUCUGACCAAAGAUUUAUCGCCUUUGGAUGGGCCCGAGUUGGAUUAGCUAGUUGGUAGGGUAAAAGCCUACCAAGGCGACGAUCCACAGCUGGUCUGAGAGACUGGUCACCGACACUGAGAGUAGGACGCGGCCCGGACUCCUACGGGAGGGAGGAGUGGGGGAUAGUGGAAAGUGGGGGGAGGCAUGAUCGAGCUAGGACGGGUGAGUGAUGAAGGCCGUAGGGUAGUAAAGCGCAUUUACCCGUGAUGAUAAUGGCGGUACCGGGAGAAUAAGCUCCGGCUAACUACGUG
rnacentral:rRNA from 1 species